rnacentral:rRNA from 1 species
GACAGAGGGUGCCAACGUUGUUCGGAAUUACUGGGCGUAAAGCGAGUGUAGGCGGUGUGGUAAGUCGGAUGUGAAAGCCCCGGGCUCAACCCGGGAAGUGCACUCGAUACUGCCACGCUAGAGUAUCGGAGAGGUUGGUGGAAUUCUCGGUGUAGAGGUGAAAUUCGUAGAUAUCGAGAGGAACACCGGUGGCGAAGGCGGCCAACUGGACGAAUACUGACGCUGAGACUCGAAAGCGUGGGGAGCAAACAGG